rnacentral:rRNA from 1 species
UUGCAAACUCAAACCUUGGUAAUCUCCGCGCCGCAAAAGAAAACCCUAGCCGCCGCCAUGGCCUUCCUCGCCGGCGCAGCCUCCAUCCGCAGCCCCUUCGCCCUCGUCUCCUCCUCCCGGCGCCGGUACGAUCUACCCACGGCCGUGAAGGCCACCACCAAUUCGAAUUCGGUUCCUCCCCACCCAAUCAUCUCCUCCCUCCGCCUCGCCGCCUCCGCCGCGGUCCUCCUCGCGGCUACCUCACCGGCCAUCGCGUGCACACCGUCCCCGCCUCCGCCCCCCGCGCUCACCGUCACGGUCUCACCCGAGGACGCCAUCCAGGACGACUCCCACCCCUUCGAGAAGCUCAUCGUCGAGACCGCCGCCCUCUCCCGUUUCGGCGGCGCGGAGGCCGCGCGGGCCCGCCUCUCUGCCGCCGGAGGCGGCGAGCAACAUGCCCGGCUCCUCGCGGCGCAGUCGCUCUUCGUGGACGGCAAGGCCGACGAGGCGAUCGCCGCCUUCGAGGAGCUCGCGCGGGAGGACCCCGGCGACUACCGCCCCCUGUUCUGCCAGUACGUCCUGUACUCUGUUCUGGGCAGGGCGGCGGAGUCGGAGUCGAUGCUCGAGCGCUGCCAGGCGAUCGCCGGCGACAAAUUAAGCGCCAAUUUGACAAUGCCGAUCUCGGCGACCAAGGAGGUGGAAGCAGGAGAGGAGGCAGAUGCUGAGCCCGUGACAGAGAAGACGGAAACAGAGGCGGAGGGGGAGAAGCUGUGA